rnacentral:lncRNA from 1 species
AAUUAUAGAAUUGUAUUUAUCAAGAAGAAUACAGUAUGAAAUAGCCAUAGCCCAUGAUGUAUCGAACGGGAGAAGGGAAUCGACAGCUGACAAGAAAAUACAUAGGUUAUUUUUGUAACGUCAUGUUCAAUAUUGUCCUUUAACUGACCAAUAUAUCAAAGCCUCCACCAACGAAGUUUAAAAAAGUUAUAUAAUUGAGUCUAUAUAUACAUAUUUGAUGUCGUGCCAGAAGCUCCGGUAGCUCGGAUGGAAAGUUUUUAUUCAUCUACCCUACAGUCUGUACCUGGCACCAAGUGACUACUACCUGUUCCUGACUAUGGGCAACGCGCUUGGGGGUACAAUUUGGACCUCAAUAGAGACCUAUGAAAAUUGGUUGUCGGAGUUUUUUACCAAUAAAGACAAAGGCUUCACCAAAAAGGGCAUUACGAAGUAGAAUUCUCGUUUCCAAAAAAGUUAUGAAACAGAACAGGGUAUAUUUGGCUGAAAUAGGAUGAUUGUUACACUUCUUCUUAAGCAUUGAAAUAAAGCAAAAAGUACUAAAUUA